rnacentral:rRNA from 1 species
AUGUUCAUGCACCAGAGAGCUGUUCGUCGUGUUGGGAGACCGUUGAUCCGCUAUGGUCCAUUGUUUCCCCGGGAACAGGAGAGGAUCCAAAAUCUGAACUACAUCUACAACUGCAAUGACGUCGAGGCUCUGUGGAUGCUUAGAAUGAAAAGAACACCAUUUGCCAGGCUUGUCGAGACCUUCAGGAGCAGGGGCCUGUUACAAGAUAGUAUCAACACCAGUGUAGAAGAGUAA